CAAUGGUUUUACUUUACAAGUUUUCAGUCGAGAACAAAUUCUCAACUAGAAACUUGGGGGCUUAAGGUACACCAUGUAUAUCGACCCCACCAAACCUCCAACGCCAUGGUUAAAAAGAGAGCGAAAAAAUAAAUCUCUAGAUAUAUGCUCAUCUCAUCCGCAUUAUCUCCACCAUGUCCCACUAUGCUCGGAAUGGGGGCUGUAAACAUCACAUCGGGUCGGAUGGUAAUUGUCUCAAACGCCACUUAUCUACUACAAACAGGUUACCAUAUAGUGAAUGUGUCAUAUCAUCAACAUAUCUCAUAACAUACAUUUUCAUACAUCACCACUAUGACACGUCAUACAUCGCCAUCAUUACAUGGCAUACAUCGCCACCAUGACACAUCAUACAUCAUCAUCAUUGCAUGGCAUACAUCGCCAUCAUUGCAUGACGUACAUCACCACCAUAAAACAACAUACAUCUCCAUUGUGGCAUGGCAUACAUCGUCAUCAAGUCAUUACAUACAACACCAUCAUCACAAACAUUGUGAUAUUUGCUUGACUCGGCCUUGCUAUCUUUAUAUAUGAGCUCGGCUCGAUCACACCAUCUUCAAUAAGUCUCGCCAUGGUUAAAGAGGAGGAAAAUUAUCUCCAUACACGUGCUCGGCUCGGCCUUAUUAUAUCUCCACAUAGGUAUUCAACUCGGCCUUAUUAUCUCCAUAUGUGUGCUCGGCUCGGCACCCUCUCCACCUUGUACCACCAUAGUCAAAGUAAGUUAAGGAUAAUUAUAUCUUCAUAUACAUGCUCGGCUCGGCCAAACACUGGUCUUACUUGAAAGUCCCAGCCAAUAAGCUAUUCUCGACUGCAAACUUGGGGGCUUCUGUUGACGCACGGUUUUACCUCACUUGGGUGGGCCUCUAAUGGGCUACCAUGUCGGCAGACCCAAGGAAAGAAACCUGUUGUUCUCCUACAAAAGGGACUCUCUCCUCUUGCUGAAGGGGGGCCCCAAAAAGAAAGACAAGGAGCAAAGAGAAGAGAGUGCUCUCGGCAACUCUUUCUCCAAUCCUCCAGACCUCUCUCCUCUCCCAUUUGUAAAGGCUCUCAAGCCUAUCCCAAUGUAAUCUCUACACAUAUAUACAAAUACAA
rnacentral:lncRNA from 1 species